UACGAAGGGGGCUAGCGUUGUUCGGAAUUACUGGGCGUAAAGGGCGCGUAGGCGGCUGUGCAAGUCAGAUGUGAAAGCCCUGGGCUCAACCCAGGAUGUGCAUUUGAUACUGCGCGGCUAGAGUGUCGGAGAGGAUGGUGGAAUUCCCAGUGUAGAGGUGAAAUUCGUAGAUAUCGGGAGGAACACCAGUGGCGAAGGCGACUACCUGGCCUGUUCUUGACGCUGAGGCGCGAAAGCUAGGGGAGCAAACGGG
rnacentral:rRNA from 1 species